UACGGAGGAUCCGAGCGUUAUCCGGAUUUACUGGGUGUAAAGGGGGCGCAGACGGCGAUGCAAGCCAGGAGUGAAAGCCCGGGGCCCAACCCCGGGGCUGCUCUUGGAACUGCGUGGCUGGAGUGCAGGAGGGGCAGGCGGAAUUCCUGGUGUAGCGGUGAAAUGCGUAGAUAUCAGGAGGAACACCGGUGGCGAAGGCGGCCUGCUGGACUGCAACUGACGUUGAGGCCCGAAAGCGUGGGGAGCAAACAGG
rnacentral:rRNA from 1 species